AACGAACGCUGGCGGCAUGCCUAACACAUGCAAGUCGAACGAGACCUUCGGGUCUAGUGGCGCACGGGUGCGUAACGCGUGGGAACCUGCCCUUAGGUUCGGAAUAACUCCCCGAAAGGGGUGCUAAUACCGGAUAAUGUCUUCGGACCAAAGAUUUAUCGCCUUUGGAUGGGCCCGCGUUGGAUUAGCUAGUUGGUAGGGUAAAAGCCUACCAAGGCGACGAUCCAUAGCUGGUCUGAGAGGAUGAUCAGCCACACUGGGAAUGAGACACGGCCCAGACUCCUACGGGAGGGAGCAGUGGGGAAUAUUGGACGAUGGGCGAAAGCCUGAUCCAGCAAUGCCGCGUGAGUGAUGAAGGCCUUAGGGUUGUAAAGCUCUUUUACCCGGGAUGAUAAUGACAGUACCGGGAGAAUAAGCUCCGGCUAACUCCGUG
rnacentral:rRNA from 1 species